UACAGGGGGGGCAAGCGUUGUUCGGAAUUACUGGGCGUAAAGGGCGCGUAGGCGGCCCGCUAAGUCGAACGUGAAAUCCCCGAGCUCAACUCGGGAACUGCGUCCGAUACUGGCGGGCUUGAAUCCGGGAGAGGGAUGCGGAAUUCCAGGUGUAGCGGUGAAAUGCGUAGAUAUCUGGAGGAACACCGGUGGCGAAGGCGGCAUCCUGGACCGGCAUUGACGCUGAGGCGCGAAAGCCAGGGGAGCAAACGGG
rnacentral:rRNA from 1 species